GUUACUCUUAAAUAAGAAGCGUAUAGCUAUUUGAGAGCGGAAUUCCGAUUUACCAGUCUUUUAUUGUGAUUAGCGAUUUGAAGAAACUGAUAAAUUGAUUUGGUUUCCUUCCAAAAUCCUACCAAAAAAAUAUUCGGCAGGAUUUUUAUU
rnacentral:sRNA from 1 species